GGACCCGCACAAGUAGUGGAGCAUGUGGUUUAAUUCGAAGAUACGCGCAGAACCUUACCAACACUUGACAUGUUCGUCGCGACUCUAAGAGAUUAGAGUUUUCGGUUCGGCCGGACGAAACACAGGUGCUGCAUGGCUGUCGUCAGCUCGUGUCGUGAGAUGUUGGGUUAAGUCCCGCAACGAGCGCAACCCUCACUUUUAGUUGCCAUCAUUAAGUUGGGCACUCUGAAAGAACUGCCAGUGAUAAGCUGGAGGAAGGUGGGGAUGACGUCAAGUCCUCAUGGCCCUUACGUGUUGGGCUACACACGUGCUACAAUGGUAUCUACAACAGGAAGCAAGACUGCGAAGUUAAGCAAAUCCUUAAAAGAUACCUCAGUUCGGAUUGCACUCUGCAACUCGAGUGCAUGAAGCUGGAAUUACUAGUAAUCGC
rnacentral:rRNA from 1 species